rnacentral:tRNA from 1 species
UCGGGUAUGGUGUAGCGGUAACAUCGCUGACUCUCAUCACUGUUCGUGGUCCCAGACCACAAUUUGAAUCUCAGCAGCCCGGGGUUCGACUCCCCGUAUCCGAG